rnacentral:rRNA from 1 species
UGGGGAAUAUUGCGCAAUGGGCGAAAGCCUGACGCAGCGACGCCUCGUGAGGGAUGAAGGUCUUCGGAUCGUAAACCUCUGUCAAGGGGGAAGAAACCUCUGGAUUCGAACAGGGUCUAGAGCUGACGGUACCUCUAAAGGAAGCACCGGCUAACUCCGUGCCAGCAGCCGCGGUAAUACGGAGGGUGCAAGCGUUAAUCGGAAUCACUGGGCGUAAAGCGCUCGUAGGCUGUUUGGUAAGUCAGACGUGAAAUCCCGCGGCUUAACCGCGGAACUGCGUUUGAUACUGUCAGACUUGAGUGUCGGAGAGGGUGGCGGAAUUCCGGGUGUAGGAGUGAAAUCCGUAGAUAUCCGGAGGAACACCAGUGGCGAAGGCGGCCACCUGGACGACAACUGACGC